rnacentral:lncRNA from 1 species
AGAGAUACAUUGUGUUCUUACAUAUUUUCAUAAUUUUAAUCCAUACUAUCCAGAUAGAAUUUAUUUCUUUACCAAAACAAGUCUAAUAUAUACUUUAUUCUGAGCAAUCCAAUACACGUAGAAAACUCUUUAGAUAUAGAAAAGAUUAAUGUGUGCACACCUAGAUAUUCCUAAAAGUAGCAGACCACUGGGGCAUAUGGAUAAGACAAGAAUUGUGCAGAACCAUAAAGGAACUCUUAAAAUGACAUCCUAAGUAUGUGAGCUAGGGAGGGUGGCUUCCUUGCUUAUCGGUAUGCCCUAGGGAGGAACCAUAUAUAACACUGUAUGGCUUCAGUAGGAACUUUGGGGUCUCCCUCCACCCCUAGUUAUUUUCACUCUUCAACCACUCCCACCCUGAUGACUCCUUGGUGUUCCCUUAACUACAAAUCUACAGGAAAAGGUGCAAAGCAGGUCCUGGCAGUCCAGACCAAAGCAAGAAUGCGCAGGGAACAGACCCUAGAGCAGAGCGAUGUGAAAGUUACAUCUACCUGAUUAUGGGCUAUUUUCCCAGGAUUCCCUAGAAGCCUAUUCAUUUGAUGAACAUGAUAGCUUUUCUCUAGUACGUGCAAUUAAAGUAACUUGUUUUUUGAAGACAGUAAGAUAGCAUGUGCUUAAAUAUUGUAAUGGUAUUACCUUCCUUAGGAUAUUCCAAACAUCAUUGAUUUGAAACCGCUCACACUAAAUUCACUAUGUCACACCAUGAGUGAGUAAUUUUCCAUACACGGACUCAAAGAAAAGUGUGAAUGGCAUGCCUGUUUGCCUGUUGCCAUAUCUGGUUGUGAAAAGCACGCUCUAUCAACAGUCCCAUGUCUACAGACUUGCUCAGCCGAACUCUGCAGUUCUCACAACAUCGUAGGUUUAACAGAGCUGGAGGAACCGUGUAAUUCAUCUUCCAAAAUGGAACAUGUAGGAGUUGAUAUGCUAAGCAGGUGAGCAAAUCAGGAUAUUGGAUAACAAUACUCAUUAUCACCAUGAUGUUUGAGGUGGGCUUCCAAAGGGCAGGGCAGGCUGUGGGAGCCUAGUCGACACUGGGGUUUUUCUAUCAAAUUAGCCAAAAAAAAAAAAAAAAUGAGGAGGGAGAUUGAAAAGAAGACAAAGGUCAAAAAAGAUACUAAGUUGAAAGGGAUCAGCAGGUGAAAGUAAGGGGUGGAGCCUUGUGAAGGAAAGGGAACUGGCACGGGUAUAUUGGGUGAGCUUGUAUGGACGACAGAUGGGAAACGGAUAAAAGCAGAUAGAGCCAGAGGAACCCUGGCGCCUGGGCUUCUUCAGGGCUCAGCUCUCCUCAACAGAGCCACCAGGCAGGGAAUGUCUUCACUCUGUGCCUGCCGGCUACUUGGUAACAGAUGACUUUGGAGAACGAUUCUAAACGUUUUUCGGAUAUUUUCAGUUUGAGUCUGGCGAG